ensembl:lncRNA
ACUGCAUUCAAUCGUCCGGGUGGUGUGCUGGGGGACGUCCUACGGUUUGGAGUGUGCUUGGAGAGAGAGGGAGAAGAAACCCUGCCUAGCAGGGCACUUUAUAGCGUCGCCUCAGUUCUUGCACAACGCGACCAUUGCAAGUGAGCGAGCGGAUUUUAGUCUAUAAUUAUACGGGCUGGAAACGGAUUUUCAUACGUCGUCAUGCUGUACAGCUUUUACAUCUACGGUCGAUGACACCUGCGUUUUUGUCUUGAAGUUUCGCCGAUCGCGAACAGUUGGGACUGCAUUCCUUCGCUCUGGAGUCCAGACCUGCAGCGUUUUUCAGAGUUAGUGAGAGAGCUAGAGAGAGAGGGGGUCCCCGUUCCUACCUGCUGUCUUUUACGUGUAACUUCUGAACUAUUCUCCAGCCCAGUCAAACAUUCUUCUGGCUGGCUCUGCCCAGUGUUGUCGUUUAUCGGAAACAUCGGAUAAUCACUAAUGAUAUCUGAGAAUCGAUUAGUUUUGAACUAGAAAGAUUCUGCAUUUAAGUUCUGCCCCAUUGGAUUGAAUGCCUUGUAUGCGGUGACUAUGGCUUUACAAUGGAUCCUCGUAGCCGCUUUGGCUGGAAUUCUUCUCACCGCCACUUCAGAAAUACAUGGAGCAUGUCUCUAUCAGGGAUCUCUGUUCGCGUUUCCUGUGUGUAUCAAGAAUGGUCCACCACCCCAAAAGAACAUCCAGCCAACUUGACACAACCGUGGGAAGCAAUUGGAGUCAACAUGGUCCAGCAACCCUGUGGAAUGCUUUUCGACAUCUUUUAGAG